GUCCACGCCGUAAACGUUGGGCACUAGGUGUGGGGCUCUAUCGACGGGUUCCGUGCCGUAGCUAACGCAUUAAGUGCCCCGCCUGGGGAGUACGGCCGCAAGGCUAAAACUCAAAGGAAUUGACGGGGGCCCGCACAAGCGGCGGAGCAUGUGGCUUAAUUCGAUGCAACGCGAAGAACCUUACCUGGGGUUGAACUAUGUGGGAAAAGCCGUAGAGAUACGGUGUCCUUCGGGGUCCACGAUAGGUGGUGCAUGGCUGUCGU
rnacentral:rRNA from 1 species